rnacentral:piRNA from 1 species
UAUUUUCNGGUAAGAGGUCAGACUGGGC